ACGCCCGACACCUACGGGAGACAGCAGUGGGGAAUAUUGCACAAUGGGGGAAACCCUGAUGCAGCAACGCCGCGUGAAGGAAGGCGGUUUUCGGAUUGUAAACUUCUGUUCUUAGUGAAGAUAGUGACGGUAGCUAAGGAGCAAGCCACGGCUAACUACGCGCCAGCAGCCGCGGUAAUCUGAGCGGGCUGGCAAGGC
rnacentral:rRNA from 1 species